GAGUUUGAUCCUGGCUCAGGAUGAACGCUAGCGGCAGGCCUAAUACAUGCAAGUCGAACGGUAACAUUUCUAGCUUGCUUUUCUGAUGACGACCGGCGCACGGGUGCGUAACGCGUAUACAAUCUGCCUUAUACUGGGGUAUAGCCUUUAGAAAUGAAGAUUAAUCCCCCAUAGCCUCUUUUAAUGGCAUCAUUAUUAGAGUAAAGGUUACGGUAUAAGAUGAGUAUGCGUUCUAUUAGUUUGUUGGUGAGGUAACGGCUCACCAAGACUACGAUAGAUAGGGGCCCUGAGAGGGGGAUCCCCCACACUGGUACUGAGACACGGACCAGACUCCUACGGGAGGCAGCAGUGAGGAAUAUUGGACAAUGGAGGCAACUCUGAUCCAGCCAUGCCGCGUGCAGGAAGACUGCCCUAUGGGUUGUAAACUGCUUUUGUACAGGAAGAAACCUUGGUACGUGUACCAAGCUGACGGUACUGUAAGAAUAAGGAUCGGCUAACUCCGUGCCAGCAGCCGCGGUAAUACGGAGGAUCCAAGCGUUAUCCGGAAUCAUUGGGUUUAAAGGGUCCGUAGGUGGAUAAUUAAGUCAGAGGUGAAAUCUUGCAGCUCAACUGUAAAAUUGCCUUUGAUACUGGUUAUCUUGAGUCAUUAUGAAGUAGUUAGAAUAUGUAGUGUAGCGGUGAAAUGCAUAGAUAUUACAUAGAAUACCAAUUGCGAAGGCAGAUUACUAAUAAUGUACUGACACUGAUGGACGAAAGCGUGGGUAGCGAACAGGAUUAGAUACCCUGGUAGUCCACGCCGUAAACGAUGGUUACUAGCUGUGUGGACUUCGGUCUGCGUGGCUAAGCGAAAGUGAUAAGUAACCCACCUGGGGGAGUACGUUCGCAAGAAUGAAACUCAAAGGAAUUGACGGGGGCCCGCACAAGCGGUGGAGCAUGUGGUUUAAUUCGAUGAUACGCGAGGAACCUUACCAGGGCUUAAAUGUAAGUUGCAUUAGUUAGAGAUAGCUAUUUNUUCGGACCACUUACAAGGUGCUGCAUGGUUGUCGUCAGCUCGUGCCAUGAGGUGUCAGGUUAAGUCCUAUAACGAGCGCAACCCCUGUUGUUAGUUGCCAGCGAGUCAUGUCGGGAACUCUAACAAGACUGCCGGUGCAAACCGUGAGGAAGGUGGGGAUGACGUCAAAUCAUCACGGCCCUUACGUCCUGGGCUACACACGUGCUACAAUGGUCGGUACAGAAAGCAGCCACUGCGCGAGCAGGAGCGAAUCUAUAAAACCGAUCACAGUUCGGAUCGGAGUCUGCAACUCGACUCCGUGAAGCUGGAAUCGCUAGUAAUCGGAUAUCAGCCAUGAUCCGGUGAAUACGUUCCCGGGCCUUGUACACACCGCCCGUC
rnacentral:rRNA from 1 species